UGGGGAAUAUUGCACAAUGGGGGAAACCCUGAUGCAGCGACGCCGCGUGAACGAAGAAGGUAUUCGUAUCGUAAAGUUCUGUCCUAUGGGAAGAUAAUGACAGUACCAUAGAAGAAAGCUCCGGCUAAAUACGUGCCAGCAGCCGCGGUAAUACGUAUGGAGCGAGCGUUGUCCGGAAUUAUUGGGCGUAAAGGGUACGCAGGCGGUUUAAUAAGUCGAAUGUUAAAGAUCGGGGCUCAACCCCGCAAAGCAUUGGAAACUGAUAAACUUGAGUAGGGGAGAGGAAAGUGGAAUUCCUAGUGUAGUGGUGAAAUACGUAGAUAUUAGGAGGAAUACCAGUAGCGAAGGCGACUUUCUGGACACAAACUGACGCUGAGGUACGAAAGCGUGGGGAGCAAACAGG
rnacentral:rRNA from 1 species